GUGCUUGCUUCAGCAGCACAUAUGCUAAAACUGGAACAAUACAGAGAUUAGCAUGACCCCUGCGCAAGGAUGACACGCAAAUUCGUGAAGCGUUUCAUAUUUUU